UCACAGACUUCAUGUAAUAGGAGACGGUGUUGUCCCAUUUAUUCUUCUUGUGUAGAUUCUGUUAAAACUGGUCCAAAACAAAUCAAAAGAAAGCUAAGCACUGUAUGUUGUUCCCGAAAGAGAUUUCCUAAGGCUUUCCCAGAAAUGCCGUGGGCUUAUUUUAUUCCAGCAAUUACUCAAAGAGGAAUAAUCAGCUGUUUUUUAAGUUGUAGGUAUCAAGUUUCUGCUCUUGUUCAGGCUUAAUUAGAUUGUGGAAUAUGGUUGUCUGGGUAGGUGCAUUAGUGUGACUGAAAAUGAGCUCUCUUCUCCAACAGGUAUUUCAGCAUGGAGGCAGUGUUUCAUGCCAUGCAGUGCCAGCCCUGUAAUGCUGAAGAUGUGCCAGACUUAGAAAUAAAAAGGACCUUGUUCUGUUUCAACUUCAGCCUUGCCCAGCAUCACACGCUGACACUGGGAGGUCUUCCAAGAAUGUGUGCCACAGGCCCUGCUAAAGCAGAUACCAAAAGCACGUAACUACUGCACAGCUUUGUGCUGUAACAACGCUACUCCCAUGCAUGCAUAUUUAUAAAGUCACUACUGAAUAAUGAAAGGACAUUUGAAAACCUCUCUAUCCAAAGAUAUAUGAAAUGCAUGUUGUUGUGGGUUUUUUUUCACACUGAAUUUAAGUGAAGAAUAUAGUAGAAGUAGCAGCAGAAGAUAAAAUUUGCUUUAGGAGAGUUCCAAGGAAGGAGGAAAAGAAGCUACAACCAACAACUCCUAAAUGGAUCACAGGAGGCUGAAGAUCCUCUUUGCUGAAAUGCAGCCACGAGACUCUCACUUUGGGACUGACGCAUUACCUGCUGCAGAAGCUUAUCUGGAAAUGACUAAGAUAGGUCCAAUGAUCCAACAGUUUUGAUGCAGUCUGGGAAGUAUGUUAACUGCAGAGCUGCUGAACCAAAUUGUUUUGCCA